ACCACAGCUCACAACAACGCCGAAUCCUUAACCCACUGAGCAAGGCCAAGGAUCGAACCCUCGUCCUCAUGGAUACUUGUCAGGUUUGUUACCGCUGAGCCACGACAGGAACUCCCUAGAUCAUGUCUUCUCAAAUGACUCCCAGCCAAAGGGUGGAGGGGAGGUGGACUCUGAGUUCUGCAUCUAUAAGGAUGUCUAUUCUUCCUUCGUAAUUUAAUGACAUUUUUUCUGGGAUAGAAUUCAAGUCAAAGACCAUUUUUCUUCAGUUUUAAAACAGUAUUGUACCGUUUUCUUUCAGUGCCCAUUGUCGCUGUGCCAGUCCGUUCCUUCCUCCUUUGUAGACGACCUUUCUCUCUGAAGCUUCUAGAAUCUUUAUCUUUGAUGUGUUCUAAAAUUUCACAGAGAUGUGUCUAGGAGGAGAGUUUUUAAAUUCUCACCUUUCAGUAUGGAAACUCUUGUCCUUUACGCUGGGAAAUUAAUCUGCGGUAUUUCUUUCUCUCCUAGUUCUCUGUUCUCUCUUUCUGGAACCCCUCCCAGUCAGCUGUUGGAUUUUCUGCACUGAUCCUCCAUGGUGCUGAUAUGUUUCCUCUGAGUUUUAGAAAAUCCUUGCCAAAUGAAGGAGACACGAGUGUCGUGGAUCGUGGCACAUGUAUAGUUGGAUGCCUCAGUGUAACUUCCAGUUUGCCUUCUCCCAGUACAGCCUGGACAACUAAAGCAUACAUUUCCCAGAACCCAUGGCGGCUAGAGGUCAGGCACGUGGUCUACGUUCUUCUAACCGGAUGUGCUAGUACCAGCGGAGGCGGAAGUGAUCAGUGUGAGAUCACGCCCAUGACAGGGGGAUGGAAUUUUCUGACGAGGAAAGUGGUAAAGGUGACCAGUGAUUCGGAGGCGGCUGUAGCCAUGCUUACAACCUCAGGUCUCCACUGGCUGAUCAAUGUCAAGGAACAGCAGCGGUGGUUGUCCUGUCUCCCUGAGGCGGCUGGCGUGGUUGGUGGUUGGACUCUUUCUUGGUCUAGGUAGGUGGCAGUCACACCUGGUUCUCCAUCCCUGCUACAAAUUCUGGGAGCCAUCCAAUAUCCUUCAGCAAGUCUCUUUCUGCUUUAACUGUCCAGCAAAGAUUUUGUUGUUUGCAUAUAGAAAACUUUACAUGGAAGCAUGUUCUAGAAACUGUGGGAACAGAGGCAGCUGUUUCUUUUUCUGCCUGAAAUGAAUGAAAUGAUUUCACAGAAUUGAUGGCGGUUGAGCAGAGACUUUGAGGAUGAGUGGAGUUUACGAAUGGACAGAGGUAGAAAGAGAUUUCACAGAAUCACUAAAGUGAGUGAGCUCAUGCUUCUGGUUUGUAAUCUCUAAGAAAAAUCUUGAAAGCCACGAGAAAGAGUCGAGUUUCCCCGAAGAGCAGUCGGAGAUUCCAGAGCAAGUGGGAUCUACUGCAGAGCUUCAGAAGGGACCUCCUGUAUUUUAGGAGGCGGGCACACUGAGUACCAGUAUUCUCCGUGACAGGUCGCCUCGUCACUCAUGAUCCCCACUGCGUCUUUGGUGCCUCACAUGCUCCCUGAGACGCAGAGCCCUGCUCAUCCCUUUUCACUGGCCCGUCUCACCGCUUCACCUCACCUCCCAACACCCUGGCGGGAACUGGAUCCCCUUUGAAAGCCCCAGACUACUUAGGUGAGUACCUGACUCCUGCCUGCAUAGUCUCAGGCCCCUUCCUGGGGGUUGGGGGCUGCUCUCCUUCCUCACCCGUGGGCUGUGGAUUUGCUGAGAAUGACGUUCUCACACCACUAAUUCCUGCCUGCUUUAUACCUCCCUUCCCCUGGAUUCCCAUGGCCUCAUUCCACCCACUGAACUGAAUCCCCAUAUGUACCAAUGCCUGCAGAAAGCACACUGGGGUCAAGACGGGUCCGUUUCUGCAGCUCCCCACUCCUUUCCCACCAACUGCGAGUAUCCCACGUGUCCUACCCUUCCCCACUCACUCUUGUUGACGAAGACUCUUGUGUGUUGUCUAAGCGUGUCACGGAGUUACACAACAAGGACCAGCAAACCCCAGUCAUGCUCAUCUGUACAAAAUGUCCACCUCGCAAUGCAGAUGUUUAGAUGGGUUCCAUCUUUGUAAGUUUGAGAGCUUGAAGGAGAGGGCCCACGGUGCCCCAGACAGUUUAAGAGCCAAAUGAAGACAGCGUCAGUGCAAGGAGGGAUCUGAGUCCGUCCCUAUCCUUUGCCAGUUCUUUUCUCCUGAUUUUUUUCACCCUGAUGACCUAAGUUUAUAAACUCAGACAGGAAAAAAAGAUGUCGUAGAAAAAUCACCUGCCUGGAUGUCCUGAGGCCUGACUUUUCAUCCUGGCUGUGUGAACCCUCCUCGGUGGUCUUGCUCGACUUCAAGUCCUUUCCCCCCUAAAGGCUUUAUUUUGUUAACCUUAUACAGGGGACUUCUAAGUUGGAGAUUCUCAUUCUUUUUGUGUUUGCAGCAUACCUUUGAAUAGCAGAACAUGGUGUAGCAGUGUUAAAAACUGAAGACUCAAAACAACACUAGUCGAUCAUUCAGUACAGUUCUGACUGCAGCACAGUGGGGUGCCCCUGGGACGAUAAAGUCCCCCAGUUAUGGUUCAACACUCGGUUGCACUUCACCACUUUACGGUUCUUUGAGUGGAACUGUUUACUGCCCUGACCUGCUUCCCUUAUGGGCCACAGAGUCAGAGAUUUUACACAUUCUGGAAGCUCGGAGACCCUUCAUUAGCCCAGGCUGCACAUCACACCUGUGCCUCAUAGAGCCGGUUUGUUCCAAGUCACGUGAUCCACAUAUCUCAAUGCUCCACCUGACACCGGAACUGAAAUGCCUUGACGACUCAGAUGUAACCCCAACUGGUUUUCCACAUGGAGCAAAAUUCAGCUAAAUAUUGAGAAUCACUGCUCCAAGGGCCAUGGCAGCUAUAAAGUUCUGUAAUUCUAUGAAUUGAAACAAAAAUAAUAUUUUGAGAAAAGAACCAGUUGAGGCAGAGCGCUUCUUUAAGGCAUUGUGUCCAUAUCCGUUGAAGAAAGAACCUCAUGGGUAAGAAAGUGAGCUCAGAGGGCCCCACAGAGCUUGUAGAGUUUGAGGGCCAUCAGCUGAAAGACAGUGGAAUGAAUCACACAGAACGUGAGCAGCCGUGACAUGGAAUUUCGGCUUGUCUUCGUUUCUUACAGGUGUAUUUUCAGCGUUGCUGGUGUGGAGGUGAGCGUAGCUGCCUUCCAGGUAUAUUUUUUCAAAGGAAGCAGUUCCUUUUAGGUUCUGUCUAAUGAUAAACUGAGGCAUAUUAGAAAUUAUGUUUCUUUGAGCCAACAUCAGCAGAUGGGAGCCAGCUGUGUGGGGGGCGGGGGCUGUCCCAGCCCGUCUUACCCUGGUCACUAGAAACGCAAGACGAGGAAAAGCCACCUUCCCUCUCCCCUUUAUGGUGAAUGUUGGGCUGAGACCCCCUGUUCUCUAAGGAGCCUCAAAAAUGGAUGGGCUUCUGCAGGUUAAACGGGCUCAGCUGUGCCCGUUGUAAUUAAAGAUUAUCCGGGGUGAGGUUAACCUGCUCAUCCAGCCUUUCAACAGUACUGAAUUCACCUGAUGCCUCACGCUGGGCCCGUCCCGCUAAGUCAGAACCUGUUCUUUGCUGAGCCCAGUUCAGUUUCUAAGUCGGCCCCCCUCCGACUUUGGCUGUUUCCAGACUGACUCUGGAAAAAGAAAGGCCCAAAUAAAGCCGGAAAGCUCCUGAGGUAAAAGCUACGGAGGAUCAGAGGGACGGCCCAGCGCCUCCGGAGCAGCGGGAGGCGGUGGCUCAGGCCCAGCAGGUACCAGGGCCGCUUGCGUGUCCCUCCCGGAGCCCCGUGCGUCUCCUUUCGUUUCCUCUUCUCACUGUUGCUAAACAGCUGGUAAAAGAUCACCCGAGGCGUGUUCCCGUGUUUAAGAGGUUCUGUGAGCGGAGAUGGAUUCAAAUGGGACAGCAUCCCCUCUAGCAGAUGGAGGGGGAGCUCCGGGAGCUGCAGAAAAUGAAAGCCUUUUAUAGGCAGAAGGGAGAGGAAUUAAGGAAAAUAAAUGAGGCCUCGAAAUGGUUGCAGCAAAGUUACUUUCCUUUCGGGGACCUCACUCUGCUGAUCAGCUGGUUCCCGACGGACAGGUUUAUCGUUUUAAGGUUUAAGGUUUCAUUUCUGGGAGAAGUGAAACUGUCAUUAAGUGCCAGUUUGGUGAUGCGGGGCUUAGAACAGGCGACUCCAUUUGGGGCCUGCUGUCUUGUUUUUUAACAAUCCUUCAAUCUGAUUGUUUGGGGGUUUCUCAAUUUCUGGUUGCAUUGUAUUCCUAUAAAUGGUUUUUCAUUUCUUCAAAUGCCCUUUGCAAACAGCAGUUGGUUGGUUGGUUGGUUCUGGGCACAGAAAAUUGUGAUCGGUUUAGUGGCUGCUUAAUGCAGUUGAGUUUGGUCAGAGAAGGGAGAAACUUUUCGGAGCUAGGCGGGACCUGGCUCAAAGGCAAUUCUUAUUUCCAUCUCAUAAGGUGUGACAUCUUUAGAUAACAGAAAAUGGACAUGUGGAGUCAGGUUUUUAGCAUAAAAGUGCUUUCUUCUGAGGAAGAAGUUACCCAGCCACCAAUUCAUGUCUGUGCCAAGAAAUGGUAUGCAGUGUGAAUAGCGGAGCUGAUCUUUCUUUCCCUCCGUGGUGAGCAUCCUGGGUUGGUUCAGUGAGGAUGUUUUAAUGUCUCCUUUGUGCCGGAUGUGUGCCAGAUGAUGCUGGGGGUACAUCGGUGAGUAGAGACAGGCACUCAUGUGGCCUGGCUGGGAAGAUGGGCGCUUGGGUAAGUCAUGGCCUUAAACUCUUGGGAGGGUUUCAACCUGGGACACAGAAACCGAGUCGGGGGCAGGAGGAGGGACACUUAACCGGUCUAAGCCACCAGAAGACCUCCAUAAACGAACGCGUGGGGGCCAAAGAGACGUGAACAAGUGAGAGAGGGCAGUGGAACAGCAUGUAACCGGGAAGGGAGAUGAGGAAGGCUCUGGUUCCCAGCAGGAAGUGAACGAGAGAAGUUCUCUGUGCGUGGAACCAAGCAUGUUGUUGGCAUUGCCAGGAGGGGAGGCAGCAGGCACGUCACAGAGGGCCUUGUUAAUCCAGCUUUUGUGUUCCGGGAACCAGGGGAAACCAUCGGAGAAUGUUAAGUAGGAGACGGACGUGGUGGGGUUUUUGUGUUUGAAGAUUCCCAGGAGAGGAGGGUAGCACCGUGCGCCUCUUGGUCCAUCUAGGACUCUGUGCCAGAGGCUGCUUUCUCUCUGUCUUUUAUAAUGAAUUAUCGCCUAUGUAGCGUGCAUAGUGUGUGGACCAUCUCUGGAAAGACGUGAGAAAGGACAGUGGUGGGCUCCUGGGAGGGAGCUGAGCCCUGAGGGACAGAAGCUGAAGGAAACUGACUUUCCGUUGUGCUCCUUUAUCGCCUUUCAGAUGAUAGGACUGUGUUACCCUGUUCAAGUGGUUUUAAAUCUGAGCAUUAAAGAACUCCUUAACGGGGUAGAGUCCAGUUCCAAGGCAGUGGAGGAAUGCUUUCUUCCUUUUCCCUGUUAGACGGGCAUCUGACUAUGUCCCAAUACUUUCCCUGCCAGUUUCAGGGCUGAGGGGUCCAGCGUCUGAAAGUCAUCCUGAUACUGAGCUCAAGUCUGGGUUCUCGUGAUGCUCCCCUUCCCCUCCCCUUUGCAGUACAGAGUAAGCCUCUUUUUUUUUCCCCCAUCUGCAGAAGACUGUUGUGCUUGUCCCUGGUCGGAGGUCCCCAGCAAAAGCUGGCAGGUGAUGCAGAUGAGCGAAGCAGACCCCUCAAGACAACCCAGGCCGUGUACCCUUCCACCUGCAGACAAAGACGACGCAGUAAACCCUGGUGAGCGUCAUUUGGGGGGAGGGGGACAGAGAGAAGCAGCAACCGUUCUUCUCCCCCCAAAUGCUGCCCUGGAGACAAGAGGGCCAGGUGUUACUGUAUCUUCCCGCAGCUUCCCAGGGACAUCAGAAAGCGAUUCUUUUAAACGUCUCAAUUUUAAAAGGUUGGCAACUAAUUUUUUUUUUUUAAAUGCUGUGCAGCCCAAACAAAACACACGCACAGCUGGAUGUGGCCCUCUGUUUGUCAUGUGUUCUGUCAGGUUCCUUCCGGGUACCACAAGAAUUUCUCAUUUUGUUGUAUCCUGGUUGGAUUUGCGAUGGGAUGCUUGUGCCUGCACUGUUGCCCAAGUUGGCCUAUUUAUCCAUCUUUCUAGAGCAGUAGAGGCAAGGAGUCAGAUAGCUGGGUUCCAGUUCCUGCCCAAAGCACUUGUAUGAUCUUGGGGAAAUCACAAAAGCGCAUCUCCCUACGCUUGCAUUUCCCCAUUUGCUGAACAAAGGGAAGACCUGGAUCCUACUGGGGCCGCUUUCCAGACUGCUCUCAGUGGGUUUCCCUGUUUCGCUGAGCUUCAGAAAGUUCUGGAGCUGCAGGUCUGAGAUGGGAAGUGGGGGCGUGGUGGGCAUUGUGCUUGAGUAAGGCCCCUCUUCUGGGUCACAGAUGCCUGGGGCCUCACCUGGUGGGAGGGCAAGGCUGCUUUCUCUUUUCUUAGCCAUCCACAAGCUUGGUUGCUUUCAGUUCGGGAAUUGAAAAAGGGCUCUUCAUUUGGAUAAAGUGAGUGAGCAGGGGCUUCUGCCAAUGACCAGGGGCUGAGCUCCAGUUCACAAGAUUCUGAGAGAGAGUUGGGCAGUAGCAGGGUAGUUAUCGCUGAUGGUGCCCAGGCAGGUGCUUUGCCAAAACAGCCUCCAGGGCACUGUCAGUUGGCUCCUUGCCUCUUCCUCUUAAGAAAUCCCUUUGCAGGAGACUUGCCUCUUCCUUUCACUCUCCCUUCUCCCCCUCCAGGUCUAGCGAGUUUGUUCCCCAAGCCUAGGCAAGAGGCAGUGUGGACGAUAUGGGGGAUAGUAACCCCUCCAUCCCCCUCUCCAGCUCACCCUGCCUCUCUUCCACCUGUCUUCUUCCUUAUCUCUUCUUCCUGUUCUUAUCUCUCCAGGCCCCCAAACCACCCUCCAUCUGUCAAUAUCAUCAGGAAUCUCUGAGACAACUCAGAGAAUCGUUCAGCUGCUCCUAGCUUCCCUUUUCCUCUCUCCAGCUUCAUCCCUGUGUGGGUUGGGUAAAAACGAGCAAUUACAGCAUUUAUGAGUCAACCAUUCCUGAUUGCCAUACAGCACAGUAAGGCUGAGUGUGCACCCUUGGGAUAGUCAUUUUAUGUGUCAGCUUGACGGAUCCGGGGAUGCCCAGAGGUCUGGUUAAUUCUGGGUGUGUCUGUGUGGGUGUUCCCAGAAGAGAUUCGCAUUUGAAUCCGUGGGAUGAGUGAAGGGGAUUGCCCUCCCCAGAGUGAGCCUGUACUGUGCAGUCCACCGAGGGUCUGAAUAGAACAAAAGAUGGAGGAAGGGAAGAUUGCCUCUCUCUGCUCGACCUCUGAGCUGGGAAGGGCUCUUCUCCUGCCCCGAUGGCGUCUGGUUCUCAGGCCUUCAGACUAGAACUGGAAUCUACACCGCUGACACCAGCUCACAGCCUUCCAACGACACCAUCAGCUUCCCUGUGUCUCCAGCCUGCAGAUGGCAGAUUAUAGCACUUCUCAGCCUCUGUAAGCAGAGAUUCCUUUUCAGCCAAUUCUUUAUAAAAUAUCACAUAUAUCUGUGACAUAUGUAUUAAUGUGUAUUAUAUAAUAUAUAUUCAUGUAUAUUUUAAAAUAUAUAUGUAUAUAUAUAUUUAUUUGUAUACAUAUAUAUCAUGAGAGUUAUUACCAGGGAUUGGCUAUAGGAUAUAGAAUAUAUGGGAUAUGUAUCUCCCGUUGGUUCUGUUUCUCUGGAGAACCCUAACACGACAUCAUUAAGUGUGCUGGUUAAAUUUGGACUUCAGUGGAUUUCUCAAGGUGCCAUGCUUUCCAUAGAUGUUCAGUCUUUGUUGUCAUUGCUCAUGUUUACUGGCUGCGUUUAUACAACUUUAAACAAAAUGUAGGGCAAAGGUCGCAAUCAGGUCAUAAAGUAGGAGCUAAACCGGGUCCCAUCUCAAAAGCUCUGGGGGAGUAAAGAUGACUGUUAGGCAUCUGUUAAAGUUAGAGCUAUGAAUGGCCUCGAGAAGAUGUCCUGUUGAGUGAAUGAAUGAGUGGGCAUGUGGAGCUGCAAUGCUAAGAUUAAUACUCAUGAAUAAAAAGAAAGUCCCAGCUUCCAUGAGGAGCGCGCUGGGAAAGCAAAGAGCUAUGCCUGAGAGAGGAAAGAACACAAGUGCCCACAUUGCAUUGGUUGCCUGGCUGAUGAUGCAGGAAGAGAGUUUUGAAUGUGAUGCCUGAUGGGACUAUGAAAUGAGCACUUAGCCUCUGAGAUUCUUGCUUCAAGUUAGUCUAAGGAAGGGAUAUGAAAAUGGACAGAGUGGACUUCCGUUUGAAAGUCUUAAAAGCAUGAUGCUCUCUUAGGACCACACCCUCUUGUAAAUUCCAGGGUUUGGGCAGGAGUAACCAUGAUUCUCACAGCAGCCAAGGAAAAUUUCCAGAUCGACUGAACUGUAAGGCAACAGCAGAGAUCAUCAGGUACAGUGGCAGCGGGACCAUAGCAGUGGCCACAGAGGAAGCCAGUGAGCCACACGGGUAACUCUAGAAUAAAGAGAUGUGGCUUGGGGGGCUUGCAGUCUCUGUUAUCCCAUGGGAUUGAGCCUCAGGGUCACUCACAUUAUAACGGUCACCAGUUCUUUCAGUCGUUCAUUUAUUUUUUUAAUUCAAAAAAGCUCGUUUGAAUCUCUUCUAAGGAUCAGGCACAGUGGAUGUGUUGGCCUAGGCCAGGGGGUCAGUGAAUCCAUUCUGUAAAGGGCCAAAUGGUCAGCCCUUUGUUGUUACAGCACAAAGGCAGCCACAGACAAUAAGUCAACAAACGUUUGCUUAUUGAAAGUAUUGCAGUAAAACUUUAUUUAUAGAAACAGAUAGUAGGCCAGGUUGGGCCAUGAGUCGUAGUUUGCUAACCCCUAGUUGAGAGAAACAGUGUGCUGGCUAUUCGGUGAUGCUUCUCCUGAUCUAAUCUGUAGCCCUUGCCACCCUGCUUGUCUCUCUCAAAAGGUUGACUUCUGCAGACGGUGUCACCCAGACUAUUUGCCCUCUGGUUUCUGAUGAGAUUUGGCCAAUAGGAGGCACUGGCAAGAGAUCAGAAGUUGGGAGGAGAGUAGGCAGGGGGAUUUAGUCCCUUUACUUUCUAUCUUCUGGGCUGUGCUUUGGCAGUGGCUGUGCUCCUCUUGCUGUGAUCACAGCUCUGACUGAUGCUUUGUACCUAUGGCUCCCCCUCUCAUCCAGUUCAUCAUAGCUCCCUCCCCUUGCUCCCAAAGAGUGGUACUGGUUUCCCACUGUUCUAGCCCUGAAAGCUUCUCCAUCCCUUGUUGGUUUCUGUACCAUUGCCCACACCUCACGUGCGGUCUCUUCAUUAAACUCCCCUCAAUUCUCCCUUCAAGUCUGCCAUCGCUUCCCUGCUGGACAGUGUCUGAAUAUGCCCUCGUCGUGGACAUUCGCUGUUUUCAGGCGUAACAGUUUUGGUGGCUCCAACCUCAAAUCCAGGGUGAAACACGUGAUCUAGGCCAAUCAGAGCACUGCAUCUCCCACACCGUAAUAACUGAUUCGGAAACGCUCUCCUAAACCUAGUGGUUCCCAUUGGUGGAAUAACAGUACCUCGGUAGAAGCUACCAAGAAGUGCUGUCUCGUCCACUGGAUUUGAGCCUGGCAGUGUAUGAAUUUGGAGUUUCCAGUAGCUAUUUCAUGAAGCCUCAGGACAAAGGCCAGCACCAAAGAUGGCACAGUCCAGAGCUGACAUCGUUUGAGAUCCUGGAACAAAAUCCACUCCUUACUGAUUUUGCCAAUAAGGUAAUAAAUUCCUUAUUUCCUGAUUUUUUUUUUCUUAAGCCAAUUUGAACUGAAGUUUCUGCCAUUUACUUCCUAAAGCAUAACCUAUGAAAGCAAAAUGAAUCCUGUGACCACUUUACACAAGUUUUGUUAUAGUCACUGAAUUAUGGACACGGAAAACCAGUCCUAUUUCAUCUUUGGAUUAGAUACACAUUAACACGGUGUAGUUAAACUCAUUGGAUUUUAGCAAUGACUGCAGCUAGGGAGCUGGGUUACCAUCAACCCACUUCCAGAGGGAAAUAACUGGAGUGGAAGAGCCACAUCUUUGCAGUUAUUACCUCCCAUGCCAGAAAGACACACUUCCCAAGCCAUGAUCCCCCCACUUUGACACUUGACAGUUACCAAAAGAGAAAAAUCUUCAUCUGAAUGAAUGGGAAAAUUGGUGCUAUUGUUGGCAAGAUGAUAAGUUGGAGCCUGGUGUUUAUUAACUGCUGUAAACAAAUCAUGACUCUGUGCCAGUGACCGAAAGAGAGACAACUGGACAUAAUAAACAUUAAUUCUCAAAGAGUUCAUCUAACAACCUAAAAGAUCCUUUGUGGACUCUAAGGUGGUAAUUAGACUAGACCUAACUCUGUUAUUAAUUCAUUUAAGAAUUUGUUAAGCGAGUAUCAGCUUCAUGCAGUAGAGGCAUGACAAUACUUUUCAUUUCUUGUGCCAGUUGUGGUUGUGGCUGCCCAGUGGGCUGUGUUGAGAAAGAUGGAGAAGCCAAAUCUGGGUUCAACAAGAAUGACUAUUGUAGUUGAUUAAGUGUGUCUUCUGUGGAAGUGGAGGAAAGGGGUGGCCAAGGAAUUUGUCGGCCUUGAGGGUUGAUUAGGGCAUUAUCUAGAGUGAGAAGGAGUAGAUUUGGGGUGGGUCACUUCUUUACUUCUACCAGUUUGUAAAAUGGAAGAAUUGGUCUAAAUAACUUACAAGUUUCCUCCUUGCUUCCCUUAUUUAUAUGUUCUUUUUAAAAGAUUGAGAUGUAGCUGAUAUACAACAUUAUGUUAGUUUCAAGUGUACUACAUAAUGGUUGGACAUGUGCACACAGAAUGAAAUGAUCACCACAGUGAGUCUAGUAACCAUCUGUCACCAUACAGAGUUUUUACAAAAUUAUUGGCCGUAUUCCUUAUGUCAUAUAUCACAUUCUGUGACUUCUUUAUUAUGUAACUAGAGGGUUAUGCCCCUUAAUCCCCUUCAUCUCUUUCCUCCACCCCACAUCCUACUCCCUUCUGGCAACGCAUUUGUUCUCUGUAUCUGUGAGUCUGGUUUCAUUUUUGGUUUGUGUGUUUGUUUUGUUUUGUAGAUUCCACACAUAAAUGUGAAAUCAUAUAGUGUUCGUCUUUCUUUGUCUGACUUAUUUAGCAUAAUACCCUCUAGAUCCAUCCAUGUUGUUACAAAUGGCAAGGUUUCAUUAUUUUUAUGGCUGAAUAAUAGUCCACUGAUUGUACCGUAUCUUCUUGAUCCCUUUUUCUAUGGGUGGACACUUCAGUUGCUUCCAUAUCUUGGCUGUUGAAAAUAAUGCUGUAAUGAACAUUGGGGUAUAUAUAUAUAUAUGUUUGAAUCAGUGGUUUUGUUUUCUUCAGGUCAAUACAUAGUGGUAAA